CCCUGGUUAGUUUAAUUGGUAAAACGGUCGAUUUAUAGUCGGCUAUAUACAGGUUCGAAUCCUGUACUAGGGAC
rnacentral:tRNA from 1 species